GAUUAAUGAAGAAAGUGGCAAUACCCAUAGACUUGAUUAUCAGCAUGGUGGUGAUUAAAGAAAAACUAGAAAGGUGAGCAACGCAAGUGUGUUAGAUGUUUGUGGAAAAGAAUAUCCCAUGAAACCAUUAGAGAGCAGAAGAAUGAGAACAUAAGACAAAUUCAAAAUGAAACUCUUCAAAGUUGGUAUGGCAGGCUUUUCUGGAAAAUUAUUCCAGCAAUGGCACAGGACACUUACGAUUGAGUCAAGAGCAUCAUUCACGACCCUGCCAACAGCUUACCCGAAUGACCAACCAUGAUGAAUGAUAAAAAGCUAAGAAAAGGCCCAUUAUUCAGAAUGAGGCUUGACUUCAGGAGAUGAUACAAAACAUGGAAGUGAUGUGAACUGCAGGGAGAAAAGUGGUAGAUUUCAAGAGGAAAUAGCCAGCCUGGUGGAACAGAUGAACAAAUAGCAGAUUACAUGUAUUGCAGAAAAAAAGGUAUGAUAUUACAUAACAGAAGGAAAAACAAAAAGAAACAACAUAAAAUUAAGGAUGCAAUUGUAGAAUUGUUAUGGGGGGUGGGCAGAACGACUCAGGUGUGCAUAAGCACAAAUUGUUGAAGAUCUGAGGGCAGCAUCGCAGAGAGAGCAGCGAGUGAGAUGGACUGAAUCCUGUACUUUACAAACAGAAGUGUAGAGUGUCCAAUCAAUGAUAAACAUUUUUGAAAUGCUAACUCACCCUCAGCUGGAAUAUUGAGCUAGGUUUUUGUGGAGA